AACGUAGGAGACAAGCGUUAUCCGGAGUUACUGGGCGUAAAGGGCGUGUAGGUGGUUCUGUAAGUCUGGCGUGAAAUUUCUCGGCUUAACCGAGGCAGGUCGUCGGAUACUGCAGGGCUAGAGGACGGUAGAGGCGUGUGGAAUUCCGGGUGUAGUGGUGAAAUGCGUAGAGAUCCGGAGGAACACCAGUGGCGAAGGCGACACGCUGGGCCGUACCUGACACUGAUGCGCGACAGCAUGGGGAGCAAACAGG
rnacentral:rRNA from 1 species